rnacentral:rRNA from 1 species
AAAGUGUGAACUAAAAUCUUUGUUUCCUUCCUUCUAGAUUUGCUCCCUUUAUUAUUCGUAAUAUUGGGGUUAAAGUAAUCUAGAUCUUUUACUGUGAGGAAAUUAGAGUGUUCAAAGCAGGCGUAACCUAGUCUUUGAAUAUAUUAGCAUGGGAUAAUGAAAUAGGACUUGAGUUCUACUUUCGUUGGUUUCUAGGGCUUAAGUAAUGAUUAAUAGGGAUAGUUGGGGUCACUAGUAUUUAAUUGUCAGAGGUGAAAUUCUAAGAUUUAUUAAAGACUAACUACUGCGAAAGCAUUUGACAAGGAUGUUUUCAUUAAUCAAGAACGAAAGUUGGGGGAUCGAAGAUGAUCAGAUACCGUCGUAGUCUCAACCAUAAACUAUGCCGACCAAGGAUCCGGGGGUGUUAAAUAUGGAUGACUCUCCGGGCACUUAUAGAGAAAUCAUAAGUAUUUGGGCUCCGGGGGGAGUAUGGUCGCAAGGCUGAAACUUAAAGGAAUUGACGGAAGGGCACCACAAGGAGUGGAACCUGCGGUUUAAUUUGACUCAACACGGGAAAACUUACCAGGUCCAGACACAGUGAGGAUUGACAGAUUGAGAGUUCUUUCUUGAUUCUGUGAGUGGUGGUGCAUGGCCGUUUCUAGUUGGUGGAGUGAUUUGUCUGGUUAAUUCCGUUAACGAACGAGACCUUAACCUAUUAAAUAGUUAAUCUUGAACAUGUCUUCUUUUGAGGACAUUUGUUUAGUUAACUUCU